rnacentral:rRNA from 1 species
CCUACGGGAGGCUGCAGUGAGGAAUAUUGGUCAAUGGACGAGAGUCUGAACCAGCCAAGUAGCGUGAAGGAUGACUGCCCUAUGGGUUGUAAACUUCUUUUAUAUGGGAAUAAAACGUUCCACGUGUGGGAUUUUGUAUGUACCAUAUGAAUAAGGAUCGGCUAACUCCAUGCCAGCAGCCGCGGUAAUACGGAGGAUCCGAGCGUUAUCCGGAUUUAUUGGGUUUAAAGGGAGCGUAGGUGGAUUGUUAAGUCAGUUGUGAAAGUUUGCGGCUCAACCGUAAAAUUGCAGUUGAAACUGGCAGUCUUGAGUACAGUAGAGGUGGGCGGAAUUCGUGGUGUAGCGGUGAAAUGCUUAGAUAUCACGAAGAACUCCGAUUGCGAAGGCAGUUCACUGGACUGCAACUGACACUGAGGCUCGAAAGUGUGGGUAUCAAACAGGAUUAGAUACCCUAGUAGUC